UGGCUUAGACGGUAGAGCGUCUGCCUACAAUGCGGGAGGCCCGGGUUCAAUCCCUGG
rnacentral:tRNA from 1 species